GAGAGAGAGAGAGAGAGACAGAGAUGGUGGUGGGAGGGAAAACUGAAAGGAGAGCAAAUGAUGGAAGAGUUUGUUGGGGAUGACGAUGAUGAUGAUGAUGAUCCCCAAUUCAGUAGAAGCAGCUGGCUAUGUAUGGUGAUGAGUUUCUGUUCUUGACCUACUCAUUUUUUGUCCUGGUGCUAUUUUGCCUCUACUGCCUGCAGAUCUUACUACGACUUGGCAAACUGUGUGUUUCUUGAUUAAUUGCCACUGCCAUUUGAUUGUAUUCUUGAUAUAGUGAAUGGGUGCCUUCUUGUUCUUGUGGCGUAGCAGGGGGCACCUUGUUAUGGUUUUGUUUCAUUUUUUGGAAUAGCAGAGGGGAUGGAGAAUGAACACCUUUAAUUUUCUUCUUUUUCAACAUUCAAAAAGGAAUCUAACAAAACGUGCAAGGUAUUCAAAAACAAAAUGCAAUUUCCAGUUCUAUCUACAUAUAAUUAAGGCUUUUUUUCCCAAGAGAUAAAUGCAAUAUACAUCAUAUUCAAG
rnacentral:misc_RNA from 1 species